rnacentral:rRNA from 1 species
CGGAAUUACUGGGCGUAAAGCGCACGUAGGUGGCGACGUAAGUCGGGUGUGAAAGCCCCGGGCUCAACCUGGGAAUUGCAUUCGAGACUGCAUUGCUGGAGUACGGAAGAGGAGGGCGGAAUUCCCGGUGUAGCGGUGAAAUGCGUAGAUAUCGGGAGGAACAUCAGUGGCGAAGGCGGCCCUCUGGUCCAGUACUGACACUCAAGUGCGAAAGCGUGGGGAGCAAACAGG